CUGACCUCGUGAUCCACCCACCUUGGCCUCCCAAAGUGCUGGGAUUACAGGCGUGAGCCACCGCCCUGGCCAAGACACUUGUUUCUAAUCUCUGGGUCUGAUUAACUGCUGGGGAAGUUGAGGAGGAGAAGUGCUAAAAGGGGUGGAAAGUACAUUGGAUGGCACCUUUUACUCCUGUGGUAAGACAGAACAUAAAGGCCCAGCUGCUGCUGCUUUUUUUUUUUUUUUUUUUUUUUUGGGACGGAGUUUCGCUCUUGUUACCCAGGCUGGAGUGCAAUGGUGGGAUCUCAGCUUACGGCAACCACUGCCACCCGGGGUCAAGUGAUUCUCCUGUUUCUGCCUCCUGAAUAGUUGCGAUUACAGUCAUGCACCACCAUGCCCGGCUAAUUUUGUAUUUUUCUUUUCUUUUAGUAGAGAUGGGGUUUCUCCAUGUUGGUCA